GACGAACGCUGGCGGCGUGCUUAACACAUGCAAGUCGAACGAUGAAGAAAAGAAUCGAAGCUUCGGCAGAAAUUCAUUUCGGAUUAGUGGCAGACGGGUGAGUAACGCGUGAGCAACCUACCUCUUACAAAGGGAUAGCCUCGGGAAACCGGGAUUAAUACCAUAUAACAUUGUGACGAAGCAUUUCGAUGCAAUCAAAGCUACGGCGGUAAGAGAUGGGCUCGCGUCCCAUUAACCGGAUGGUGAGGUAACGGCUCACCAUAGUGACGAUGGGUAACCGGCCUGAGAGGGUGAACGGUCACACUGGAACUGAGACACGGUCCAGACUCCUACGGGAGGCAGCAGUGGGGAAUAUUGCACAAUGGAGGGAACUCUGAUGCAGCGACGCCGCGUGAGUGAUGAAGGAAUUCGUUUCGUAAAACUCUGUUCUAUGGGAAGAAAAGGACUGUACCAUAGGAGAAAGCGCCGGCUAAAUACGUG
rnacentral:rRNA from 1 species